GUGGCUGUGGCUCAGCGGUAGAGCGCUCGCCUAGCAUGUGUGAGGUGCUGGGUUCUAUCCUCAGCACCACA
rnacentral:tRNA from 1 species